GAUGAACGCUGGCGGCGUGCCUAAUACAUGCAAGUCGAGCGAACGGACGAGAAGCUUGCUUCUCUGAUGUUAGCGGCGGACGGGUGAGUGACACGUGGAUAACCUACCUAUAAGACUGGGAUAACUUCGGGAAACCGGAGCUAAUACCGGAUAAUAUUUUGAACCGCAUGGUUCAAAAAUGAAAGACGGUCUUGCUGUCGCUUAUAGAUGGAUCCGAGCUGCAUUAGCUAGUUGGUAAGGUAACGGCUUACCAAGGCAACGAUGCAUAGCCGACCUGAGAGGGUGAUCGGCCACACUGGAACUGAGACACGGUCCAGACUCCUACGGGAGGCAGCAGUAGGGAAUCUUCCGCAAUGGGCGAAAGCCUGACGGAGCAACGCCGCGUGAGUGAUAAAGGUCUUCGGAUCGUAAAACUCUGUUAUUAGGGAAGAACAUAUGUGUAAGUAACUGUGCACAUCUUGACGGUACCUAAUCAGAAAGCCACGGCUAACUACGUG
rnacentral:rRNA from 1 species